rnacentral:lncRNA from 1 species
AUGAACUUCCAGAUGUUCAAGCUGGUUUUAGAAAAGACAGAGGAACCAGGGAUCAAAUUGCCAACAUGCACUGGAUCAUCAAAAAAGCAAGAGAGUUUCAGAAAAAACAUCUAUUUCUGCUUUAUUGACUAUGCCAAAGCCUUUGACUGUGUGGAUCACAAUAAACUGUGGAAAAUUCUGAAAGAGAUGGGAAUACCAGACCACCUGACCUGCCUCUUGAGAAACUUAUCUAUAGGUCAGGAAGCAGCAGUUAGGACUGGACGUGGAACAACAGACUGGUUCCAAAUAGGAAAAGGAGUAUGUCAAGGCUGUAUAUUGUCACCCUGCUUAUUUAACUUCUAUGCAGAGUACAUCAUGAGAAAUGCUGGGCUGGAAGAAACACAAGCUGGAAUCAAGAUUGCCGGGAGAAAUAUCAAUAACCUCAGAUAUGCAGAUGACACCACUCUUAAGGCAGAAAGUGAAGAGGAACUAAAAGGCCUCUUGAUGAAAGUGAAAGAGGAGAGUGAAAAAGUUGGCCUAAAACUCAACAUUCAGAAAAAGAAGAUCAUGGCAUCUGGUCCCAUCACUUCAUGGGAAAUAGGUGGGGAAACAGUGGAAACAGUGUCAGACUUUAUGUUUUUGAGCUCCAAAAUCACUGCAGAUGGUGACUGCAGCCAUGAAAUUAAAAGAUGCUUACUCCUUGGAAGAAAAGUUAUGACCAACCUAGAUAGCAUAUUCAAAAGCAGAGACAUUACUUUGCCAACAAAGGCCCAUCUAGCCAAGGCUAUAGUUUUUCCAGUGGUCACGUAUGGAUGUGAGAGCUGGACUGUGAAGAAAGCUGAGCGCCGAAGAACUGAUGCUUUUGAACUGUGGUGUUGGAGAAGACUCUUGAGAGUCCCUUGGACUGCAAGGAGAUCCAACCAGUCCAUUCUGAAGAAGAUCAGCCCUGGGAUUUCUUUGAAAGGAAUGAUGCUGAAGCUGAAACUCCAGUACUUUGGCCACCUCAUGCAAAGAGUUGACUCAUUGGAAAAGACUCUGAUGCUGGGAGGGAUUGGGGGCAGGAGAAGAAGGGGACAACAGAGGAUGAGAUGGCUGGAUGGCAUCACGGACUCAAUGGAUGUGAGUCUGAGUGAACUCUGGGAGAUGGUGAUGGACAGGGAGGCCUGGUGUGCUGCGAUUCAUGGGGUCGCAAAGAGUAGGACACGACUGAGUGACUGA